GGCUUUGUGAUGCAAUUAGAGAUAUUAAUAGGUAAGCAAAUCAUAUCUAGCUUGAAAUGGAACAAAGCCAAAGAAAUAUUGAACAUGCAUGAAAAAGUCGACAUAGACAGAUGAUAAUUAUUAAUAAAUUCUCAUAACUGGAUUUUAUAAAUCUAUUAUAUAAAUUACUGCAUCAUAGAAACAGGAAACUUUAGCACGUUACUUUUUUCGAGGAGCUAAAAGUGCAGGAUGCUCCUACAAAAUAAAAAACAAGCAGAAAUAAUCAGCAUUAACUGGAUUUUACAAUUUUGGUGACAUUUCUAUAAAUUGGGCUUGAUGGG
rnacentral:lncRNA from 1 species